ACGUGCGGUGUAUGUGUGCGUUCGCGCGUGCUGUGUGUGUGUGAGCUCUGCUAUUAUAUCUUAGUAAGAUACAUACAAUAACCAUGACAGUGUCGUAUAACCUGUACAAGGUGCGAUUUAAACUAUCGAAUGUAGUCUGGUAGUUCAGGCUUGGGAAGUUUGUUGGUGUGCCACAGCUUAUGCAAACACUUUGUAUCAUAGACCGCGGAACCGGCCGGGCCAGGGGGGCCGUGGCCCGGGUAACUUUUUGAAAUGAUUAUUAAAAAAAUAAAUGAAUGUUGGCCUGCAAGUUUUUUUUUCAACUCAAAACCUGUCGACAAGAUCAAACUUAAACACAACCCAUGCUGUAAUAAUUUAAUCAAUGGUAUUUCUAAACCAAUAUUGUUCACGUCACACGUCAUGCAUGAAUGUUGCAAAAUGUAGACCUAUAACUGCGCAGCACUGAAAAUCGCGCGAAAGAAGUAGAGCGUUCGUUUUCCACACUUCGUCGACUGAAAUCAUACCUCCGAUCCACAAUGACACAAAAAAGACUGAAUGACUUGAUGAACUGCCAUAUUCACCGUGACAUUCUGGAGGACAUCGACAUGACAGCCAUCGCUAAGGAGUUCGUGCAGGCCAACAGGCGCGUCGUUAGCAAUUGAAAACAUCCGGGGCUUUAGCCCGGGGGGGAGCACCAUCCUGACUCCUGCGUGCUACGGUAUCUUAAUUAAUUAAAUAAUUAAUUAAUUAAUUAAUUAAUGUAUCGAUUAAUUAAUUAAGGGCGCCCCCAACACAUAGGUCGCCUAUGCCGAGCGCCAGGGCAAAAAUAAGACAUUAGAAUAGCCUAUAUAGCCUGCGUGCACCUACCCGAUGUCAAGAAGCCAUCGCUGCUCCGACGGACCUUUCUCCCCCAGCCAGGCAACGGCAAUUAACUACAGCCGCCCUUCCUGGGUAACGCCACCACCAAUCCCUGGUCAUCCAGUGAAGACAUCUCUCUCACUCUGCACAGUCACACUGUUGCCGCUUCAUUCUCAUUGUCUCAUAAUCUCAUUAUUAUGGCUGCUGUGGAUGCUUUAAAAAAUAAACAUUUUUCUCUUAGGUAAAAUCAAACCAGUGGGAUGUUAGAUUGAAAACCUCCAAAGCAAUGUAUUAAAAAUUGAAAGACAGUCCUAUGUGAAGUUUCUUUUUUGGGGAUUUUCAAAAUGAGGUACCAGAAGGGAUUGUCAACCCACUGUUUCUCAACCCUCUCCGAUUAUUACUAUGAGUAGUAGUAUUGCAUGCAUACAGUACUCACAUCAGCGCCACAGUAAGCCAAUAGAGGCUGCAACCAUUUGCUUCUCAAAAGAUUGUAGUGUUUUAGAAUGAACAACCACUAGAGAGACAAGACAAGACUCAUUUUGAUUGACAAGUUGGCUAGAUUUAUAUAUGUAUUUAUAUUAUUUUUUUAUUUAUAAGAAUGAAAGAAAUUGUGUAAUGAAAGAAUAAAACAAUGAUUGAUGCAUUUUUGUUUGAAUAACAUCUUGCUCCCGCGGCCAGUGCCAGCGCCGGCAUUGCAAGGGGAGGGAUAUUACGUACAUUUGCAGGAGGCGGGAUAAGUGCGGCCGCUGUCACUCAGGUUUGUUUUGGUUUGACGCAGACAGCAUGGAGGCAGAACAGACCGCAGAAGUCAACGCGAUCGUCUUCAAUGUUGCUGCAACGAUGCAGCAUAUAUUCAGAAGAGCAGCCAGUACUUACGUGUAUGAAAGCAGCUAUAUAUAUAUAUAUAUAUGUAUAUAUAUAUAUACAGGUGCUGGUCAAAUUAUUAGAAUAUCAUGAAAAAGUUGAUUUAUUUCAGUAAUUAUAUUCAGAACGUGAAACUUACAUAUUAUAUCAAUUCAUUACACACAGAGUGAUAUAUUUGAAAUGUUUAUUUCUUUUAAUUUGGAUGAUUAGUACUGACAAUUACUGAAAAUCCCAAAUUCAGUAUCUCAGAAAAUUAGAAUAUUAGUUACGACUAGUACAAAAAAUGAUUUUUUAGAAAUGUGGGCCAACUGAAAAGUAUGAACAUGGAAAGUUUCAGCAUGUAUGGCAAUCAAUACUUAGUUGCAGCUCCUUUUGCCUGAAUUG
rnacentral:lncRNA from 1 species